rnacentral:lncRNA from 1 species
ACAAUUGAUCAAACUAUUCUAAUUUUCUACGAAGCUUCGUUGACGAAAAGUAAUCCAACGUAUUGGUUAAGCUGCAUCUUGACAUCUGCUUCAGCAGCUAUUACUGUAAAGAUAAUAAAAACAUAAUAUUAAUUAACUACAACUUAAUUGGAUUCAAUAAGAUGAAUAGCCACAAAACACUCUACCUGACAAAAUAGAGAAGGUGCAGCUGAAGUUAAGAAAACAGAGUGUGAUUUAUACCAUAUUCCACAUUCAAGAAAGUGAAGUAGAGCUUUUGGAAGAUCCCCAGUAUAAUUGUAAAAUAUUGCCUACAUGAAGAGAAAAUAAGAAGUGAGCAACAAAAAAGAAAGAAACUUAUAUUUCAAACCAUAAUCACAAUGACUAUCAAGCCAAUUCUGUAUGCAUUCGAAUGAAAGAGCACAUAUACAUGCUCAUAAUCUAAAAUAUUUCAUAAGAAAUCAAAUGCUAUAAUGUAUAUAUACGUGUACAGAAAUGAGAGAAUAUGAUGGGGUGGGUGUAUGUUUUGAGUUUAGUUUAUGAGCAUAU